rnacentral:rRNA from 1 species
AUUGAACGCUGGCGGCAGGCUUAACACAUGCAAGUCGAGCGGAGAUGAGGUGCUUGCACCUUAUCUUAGCGGCGGACGGGUGAGUAAUGCUUAGGAAUCUGCCUAUUAGUGGGGGACAACAUUCCGAAAGGAAUGCUAAUACCGCAUACGUCCUACGGGAGAAAGCAGGGGAUCUUCGGACCUUGCGCUAAUAGAUGAGCCUAAGUCGGAUUAGCUAGUUGGUGGGGUAAAGGCCUACCAAGGCGACGAUCUGUUGCGGGUCUGAGAGGAUGAUCCGCCACACUGGGACUGAGACACGGCCCAGACUCCUACGGGAGGCAGCAGUGGGGAAUAUUGGACAAUGGGGGGAACCCUGAUCCAGCCAUGCCGCGUGUGUGAAGAAGGCCUUAUGGUUGUAAAGCACUUUAAGCGAGGAGGGGGCUACUGAGACUAAUACUCUUGGAUAGUGGACGUUACUCGCAGAAUAAGCACCGGCUAACUCUGUGCCAGCAGCCGCCGUAA